AUUGAACGCUGGCGGCAGGCCUAACACAUGCAAGUCGAACGAGUGGCGGACGGGUGAGUAAUGUCUGGGAAACUGCCCGAUGGAGGGGGAUAACUACUGGAAACGGUAGCUAAUACCGCAUACCAUCGGAUGUGCCCAGAUGGGAUUAGCUAGUAGGUGGGGUAACGGCUCACCUAGGCGACGAGCCCUAGCUGGUCUGAGAGGAUGACCAGCAACACUGGAACUGAGCCACGGUCCAGAUGCCUAGGGGAGGAAGAAGUGGGGAAUAUUGCACAAGGGGCGCAAGCUGGAUGCAGCCAUGCCGCGUGGAUGAAGAAGGCCUUCGGUUUGUAAAGUACUUUCAGCGGGGAGGCGUUACCCGCAGAAGAAGCAACGGCUAACUCCGUGCCAGCAGCCGCGGUAAUUC
rnacentral:rRNA from 1 species